rnacentral:rRNA from 1 species
UACGUAGGAGACGAGCGUUGUCCGGAGUUACUGGGCGUAAAGGGUGCGCAGGCGGUUUUGUAAGCCAGAUGUGAAAUCCCCGGGCUUAACCUGGGAAUGGCAUUUGGGACUGCAAGGCUUGAGUGCGGCAGAGGAGACUGGAAUUCCUGGUGUAGCAGUGAAAUGCGUAGAUAUCAGGAGGAACACCGAUGGCGAAGGCAGGUCUCUGGGCUGACACUGACGCUCAUGCACGAAAGCGUGGGGAGCAAACAGG